ensembl:snoRNA SNORD14 Small nucleolar RNA SNORD14
UUGCUGUGAUGAUUGAUUCCUACCCAUUCAUAGUUUCCACCAAAAGCUUUGUGCUCAUAAUGGUUAAACUUCCUUGGAUGUCUGAGAAA